UACAGAGGUCCCGGGCGUUGUUCGGAUUUACUGGGCGUAAAGGGCGCGUAGGCGGCGGAACGUGUCGGAUGUGAAAUCUCCGGGCUCAACCCGGAAAGUGCGUCCGAAACUGUUGCGCUGGAGUCCGGGAGAGGUGGCCGGAAUGCAGGGUGCAGCGGUGAAACGCGUUGAUAUCCUGCAGAACUCCGGAGGCGAAGGCGGGCCACUGGAACGGUACUGACGCUGAGGCGCGAAAGUCGGGGGAGCAAAC
rnacentral:rRNA from 1 species